rnacentral:tRNA from 2 species
GGCCCCGUAGCUCAGCUGGAUAGAGCGGCCGCCUCCUAAGCGGCAGGUCACAGGUUCGAAUCCUGUCGGGGUCA